rnacentral:piRNA from 1 species
UACUAAGAAUCAGAUUGUAAAACCCACGUA